CCUACGGGAGGCAGCAGUGGGGAAUAUUGCACAAUGGGGGAAACCCUGAUGCAGCGACGCCGCGUGAGUGAAGAAGUAUUUCGGUAUGUAAAGCUCUAUCAGCAGGGAAGAAGGAAGACGGUACCUGACUAAGAAGCCCCGGCUAACUACGUGCCAGCAGCCGCGGUAAUACGUAGGGGGCAAGCGUUAACCGGAUUUACUGGGUGUAAGGGGAGCGUAGACGGCUGGGCAAGUCGGAAGUGAAAGCCCAGGGCUCAACCCGGGGACUGCAUUGGAAACUGUGAGGCUAGAGUGCUGGAGAGGUGGGUAGAAUCCCUGGGGUAGCGGUGAAAUGCGUAGAGAUUAGGAGGAACACCAGUGGCGAAGGCGGCUUACUGGACAAAAACUGACGUUGAGGUGCGAAAGCGUGGGGAGCAAACAGGAUUAGAUACCCUAGUAGUC
rnacentral:rRNA from 1 species